rnacentral:miRNA from 1 species
GCAUCUGGGGAACGUUGGCCUCGU